AUUGAACGCUGGCGGCAGGCCUAACACAUGCAAGUCGAGCUGAUGACGGGAGCUUGCUCCUUGAUUCAGCGGCGGACGGGUGAGUAAUGCCUAGGAAUCUGCCUGGUAGUGGGGGACAACGUUUCGAAAGGAACGUUAAUACCGCAUACGUCCUACGGGAGAAAGCAGGGGACCUUCGGGCCUUGCGCUACCAGAUGGGCCUAGGUCGGAUAAGCGAGUUGGUGGGGUAAUGGCUGACAAAGGAGACGAUCCGUAACUGGUCUGAGGGGACGAUCAGUCACACUGGAACUAAGACACGGUCAAGACUCCUACGGGAGGCAGCAGUGGGGAAUAUUGGACAAUGGGCGAAAGCCUGAUCCAGCCAUGCCGCGUGUGUGAAGAAGGUCUUCGGAUUGUAAAGCACUUUAAGUUGGGAGGAAGGGCAGUAAGUUAAUACCUUGCUGUUUUGACGUUACCGACAGAAUAAGCACCGGCUAACUCUGUGCCAGCCGCCGCGGUAAGAC
rnacentral:rRNA from 1 species